CCUCUCUUUUUUUAUUCUGCUGCGUGAACAGCCUCACACUAUACCCGUGAUGUUCUGCUGACAAUAGGUGGCAUCUUGUUUCUGGUUGGAGCCAUUGCUGCUCUCAUCUGUUACUGCAGGAGGAAGCAAAGAGUUCCAAAGCCUCAGAAAAGCACCGAGGGAUCUGAACCUAGAGUAUGUGCCAGAAACCUGCAUCCUGCUCAUGAUAAUCAGGGAUCUAAAGCCAGGGUUCCUGGUGCAGAGCAGGUGGAACAGAACUCUGAAGUCACCUACGCGCUCAUGGAAUUCCCGGCCUUGGAGGCCCAGGCAACCCAGCCGAAAAACAAAGCCAAGCCUGCUGAAGCUGAGCAUGUGCUGUAUAGCGAGGUGGUGACAAUGCACACCCGAAAGGCAGCUAAAUAAGGAGGGGAAACCCUCUCUACGGUCUCUCUGCAUCUCCACCUCCUCCAGGCGUCUGUAUCCUUAGCCCUUUAUAUCUCAAGAUCCCUUUCAUACCCCUUGGCAAAGAGCACACCCAACACACUCUUGUCAGACUAUUUAGCCAACCAGCAGCUUGUCAGGUAUCAUAUAAAAACUUGUGACCCACUGCCCAGGAAUAUCACUGUAUGAUGUAUGUACGGGCUGUGCAGAAAGAGUUACAUAUCUAUGCCGGGUGUAGUUGCUAAGCAAGUGACAGAGUCCUGCGGCACCUUACAGAUGUAUUGGAGCAUAAGCUACCACUCUGAUACUUGAUAAACAAGGUGGCCCUAGACAAAGGAAUGUGGACUUAUGAGUCUCCAUGCAUCAAGCAAACUGGCAGAUAAGAAAAACAGGAUGGCUUGUGUGAUGCUGGGAAAUCUGAUCUCUGCCCUUGCCGGGCUGCCGGCAUUAGCUAAGAACUGACAACCUCAUAGCUGGAGAUCAGAGCAGGUCACCUGUAUGUUCGUUUUGGUCUAAAUAGGUAACAGUCUUCUAUGAAUGUCUUUAGUGUUUAGACUCUAUAAAAUGCUUGUAUGUUGCUGGCUGCAUUAAUCUCACUGAUAAUGUCAAUAUCCCGUGUUAUAAGGUGAUAUUUGUUUGCUCUGUAACUGUAAACGCCCACACAGUCUGGAGAGAAGCACGACCAAGUGUGAAAUACGACUUUGCCACAGGAGGGGUUAUUUCCUGCCCAGCAAAAGGAGGCCCAUAGAGACCUGACAGACCACUGUGGAGCAUCAGAGGAUGAAACUCUUUGUUGAUUGUGUCCCCUCACACAUGAAGAGGAAACGUGGAUGGGAACUUGUCCCGUCCUCGUCACAUCUGGGGGAAGAGAAUAAAAAUCCCUGACGAGAAGAAUUGCGUCUUUUCGGCUUUUUGAACUCAGAGGGGCCAGAGACUCUGAACUGAAGCCAGAGAUCCCCAGGGGCUGCCUCCUAAGUCUGUCCUGAAAGACUCUUUGAACUGACAGAUCACUACGAAUCUGUCACUCUUCGAAUUUAGAUUGUAAUUUAUUGGCGUGUAAAUGUUUUCUUACUUUAAUCUGCUGAUAACGCUUAUUUUUUUCCCUAGUUAAUAAAGCUUUAAAUAGUUUAGCACAG